AGUGAACGCUGGCGGUAGGCCUAACACAUGCAAGUCGAACGGCAGCACAGUAAGAGCUUGCUCUUACGGGUGGCGAGUGGCGGACGGGUGAGGAAUACAUCGGAAUCUACUUUUUCGUGGGGGAUAACGUAGGGAAACUUACGCUAAUACCGCAUACGACCUACGGGUGAAAGCAGGGGAUCUUCGGACCUUGCGCGAUUGAAUGAGCCGAUGUCGGAUUCGCUAGUUGGCGGGGUAAAGGCCCACCAAGGCGACGAUCCGUAGCUGGUCUGAGAGGAUGAUCAGCCACACUGGAACUGAGACACGGUCCAGACUCCUACGGGAGGCAGCAGUGGGGAAUAUUGGACAAUGGGCGCAAGCCUGAUCCAGCCAUACCGCGUGAGUGAAGAAGGCCUUCGGGUUGUAAAGCCCUUUUGUUGGGAAAGAAAAGCAGCAGGUUAAUACCCCGCUGUUCUGACGGUACCCAAAGAAUAAGCACCGGCUAACUUCGUG
rnacentral:rRNA from 1 species